CUUUUGCGCGCAAACAUUUAAACCAAAAUUCUCUAUGAAACUUUAACAUACAAAUUAAAUUAAAUUUCUCGAUUUCAGUUAAUCGAUUAAUCGUGUCUCCCCAACUUCCAAUGCAACCAACAGAUGGCGUUACCUUAAUUCUUUGUUCCCUCCGAACUUGAGAGUUGUAAGACACUACCUAUAGAUGGAGUUACUUGUUUACUUUUCUCUUUUUUUCUUAAUUGAUUAAUUUUCCGAUUUUUUAAAUUGUUAAUUGCUAAUUGUUAAUCGGAUAAAUUAAUUAAUCAUUUAUUUCUUUUUAAUUUGUCUCUCAAUCAAUUAGUAAUUAACUGAAGUAUUUGUUGAAUGUUAAUCUUUUUUGUUUCUUCCUCUUAUUCUCUCAUUUGUCUUUAGUGUUUGUUGUUACCUUUUGUUGAUCUUCCGUGUUGAGAAUUUAAUUGUCUACCUUGUUAAAAUUAACGUUUACCUUUUGUGUUGAUUAAUUAAUUGUUCUUCUUGUUUGGAUAAUUGUUCAUCCUUUCAUUAAGGUUUUCUCUUGUGGUUUCUCUUGGUUUCUUCUUAUUGUAAACAUUUGAUUGUUUGUCUUUUUCUCUUUUCUCUUUAAUCAUUAAUUUAUGAUUAACCGAUUAUGUGAUUAACUGUUGUUGCUGUUGUAUCUUUAUUGUUAAUUCUGAUCACAAUUGAUUACUCCUUUUUGUAACUUUUCUGAUGGUAAUACGAUUUAUUUACAUGUUUAAUCAACACACACUCACACAAUUAGUGUUGAUCAAAAGCCUUUUUCUAAUCUUUGUUUACUUGGGGUGUUGCCUGAUGAUGAUGGUGAAAGAUUAUGAUGAUUAAGUGGAUUGGAAAUCAAUUGGAAUCUCAUUCAUUGAGAAUCAAAAGAAAAGGUAUUUAUUAAUCCAUGGAAUUUCAAGAAAGUACAAUCCAAUCAAAUGGUUAUUACAUUUAGAUCAUUCUGAUGUCAUCUAAAGAUUUUGAUUGAAACAAGAAGGAAAAAAAUAUAUCAAUUUCGUUAAUUUUUUUUUUCUAUUCUGUUUCUCUUCUGGUAACAAUCAACAGAAUAUAAAUUGUUGAUGUAACUGUAAAUUUCAUUAACUUACCUUUUCUUUGAUCUUCUUGGUAAACGUUUUCUUUUGUCUCCUUAAAAACAGGCGGAGGAAAAACUUACGAAUACGACUCAUUGUUAGUUAAUUGUGACUGAUUAAAACGGAAUAACAAUAAACUAAUGGAUCAACAAACACAACAAAAGGUAAUUGAACAGUUGGUAAUUAACACAAUCCCGAAGUCUAAAUAUUGAAACAAAUAUCCAAAAGGAAUGGCCAGAAAACUAUGAAAGAAAAUGGAAUCACAAUAUAACUUAAUCAACGAUCAGUUAACAACUGAAUUAACCUCAACUCCAAUUCCAAUAAGAAUUCAAAUUAACCUUCAAAAUUUUUCAUCUUCCAUGGACAUGGAGAACUUGUUUCAAAAGUUGUUAACCUCGUGAAAAUUUUCACUACCAACGAAUUAAUCAAAUUACAAUAUUAAUCCACCAACAUGGAAAUUAAAGGUUAACAAUCAAGCCGGAAAUCAACCUGACAAAUCAAAUUAAACUCAAUUUGUAAUCAAAUUCAAGUCACAUUCAUGUCAUACAGAGACAAAGAAAAGCAUUGAGACAACAACAAUCAGUCUGAUAACUGAAUUUACAUGAAUCAUUAACAAUUAUAAGCUAAUCACAAUCAAAUAAGUUCACCCGAUCUAAAGAGAGAUCCAGUUAAUCAUUAAAAAAACCACUACUAAUCAUAAACCAGAUGAUUAAUCAAUGUCAACAAUCAAAGUGUAAAACGAUGAACUCAUAAUCUGUCAAUUUUGUUAAUGACAAUCAACAAUUAACGCUGAUCAUUUGAAUCAAUCAUUAUAAACUAUAAGGAAAUUAUCACAAGAAAACAAUGUUGAUUAAGCCUUGGGUGACUUAAGGAAUUAAUUUGAUCAACAAUUAAAAUCAAAACGUUGCAGUUAAUCAAGUCAACAAUUUAACCCAAAGUGCAAAAAAAACAACAACAACAACAACUAAAUUACAAGUAUAAGGCUAAUGAUUUGGAUGAUGAUGAUGAUCAAUAUUUAACAAUCAAAAACUAAACCAUCAAUUUCAUUAACGAUUAAAUGUUUAUAUUUAAAUUAAAAGCAUCACCUUAAUUUAGAUUAAAACAACAAUUUAAUACUUCA